GAACUCUAUCUCUAAGCUCUGAGAGUUUCACCCUUACUCUCACUUUGAUUCCUCCACAAAUCAAACCCCAUAACCACAGAUUUGGAAUCCCUAAGACUCAAUGAACCUGAAUAUGGUCUUGCAUGUAGCGACAGUGCACCAGGGUGCACCCCACCAUUGAAUCCGAGAGCUUCGAAGCUCCAAACUCUAACCCAGUUUUUGACGUUUUUCUCCGGUAAAACUCCGGUGAGUUUGAGACUGUGGUGUACGGACCGACCUGAACCGAUCCCAGGUACUAUUUUCUUUUUUUUUGCAAGUGAAUUUUGUGUUGAAAUUUGAAGGUUUAACCUCUGUGGUUCUGUGCACCUAGUUUUGAGAAUCCGGCGAGGUACUCCGAGCUAAACUCGUUGAAUCCGAGGUGGAUUUGACCUCUCCUCCUUCUAAUUUGGUUUUGGGCAAGUCUCUAAACCUUGUGAGACUAAAUUCUAUGAAUUUGACAUGGUUUUUUUUUAUUGAAUUCGUGCUCGGGAAGCCCUUGAUCGUUUUUAUUGAAUUCGUGCUCGGGAAGCCCUUGAUCGUUUUUUAAUGUUCUUCUGCCGUUUUCGGCGACUUUGCCGCCAACGGUCACCGACGGACUGCUGCUGUCACUGUUAAAUUUGACGGCGACGACCACUAUUCCUUUAAACCUAACGGAGUUCCGUAACAGAAGAGGUAUAUUCUAUUAAACUCUAUAAUUCUCACUGCGACGGCGAGUGGCCGAAGCAUGGCAGCGCGUGCAGGACCUGUGACCUAUCUUUGUGUUUUUCGCUGUUCUGAAUCACGUUUAUUAGAGGAUAAAAAGAGUUUAGGCAAAGAGCCUAUUGACGAGGGAUGCUCUGCUUACCUGACAUAGCAAGAAUAAGGAGAAUACCAGAGUGACGAGUGGGCUUGGCAGUGAGGCUUUCAUUAUUUGGAUUUAGGGUGAUGGUUAAUUUACUGUGGUUUUAUCUUUAUUGUAAUAAUUGCAUGAUCGCAUUUUUAAUUAUGCACAACACUACACUUUUAUGUGUUUAUUGUUGUGCGAAACUUCUAGAUGCUCUGAUGUGAUGUGGUAAUAAUGGGAUUAAAUUCCCUAGAUAAUUUGUGUCCCCAAGUGGGGAGGUUGAUAAGUGAACUUUGAAAUUUGCUUUGGAUUUAUUAAUAAUGAACGUUUUG
rnacentral:sRNA from 1 species